CCCGCCUACGGGAGGCAGCAGUGGGGAAUAUUGCACAAUGGGGGAAACCCUGAUGCAGCCAUGCCGCGUGUGUGAAGAAGGCCUUCGGGUUGUAAAGCACUUUCAGUUGUGAGGAAAGUUUAGUAGUUAAUACCUGCUAGAUGUGACGUUAGCAACAGAAGAAGCACCGGCUAACUCCGUGCCAGCAGCCGCGGUAAUACGGAGGGUGCGAGCGUUAAUCGGAAUUACUGGGCGUAAAGCGCACGCAGGCGGUCUGUUAAGCUAGAUGUGAAAGCCCCGCGCUCAACGUGGGAGGGUCAUUUAGAACUGGCAGACUAGAGUCUUGGAGAGGGGAGUGGAAUUCCAGGUGUAGCGGUGAAAUGCGUAGAGAUCUGGAGGAACAUCAAUGGCGAAGGCAACUCCCUGGCCAAAGACUGACGCUCAUGUGCGAAAGUGUGGGUAGCGAACAGGAUUAGAUACCCUGGUAGUCCACACCGUAAACGCUGUCUACUAGCUGUUUGUGGAUUUAAUCG
rnacentral:rRNA from 1 species